GACGUAGGGCGCGAGCGUUAUCCGGAGUUACUGGGCGUAAAGCGCGUGUAGGCGGCUCGGUAAGUGGGUCGUGAAAGCGCCCGGCUAAACUGGGCGAGGACGAUCGAGACUGCCAGGCUAGAGGGUGGUAGAGGGACAGGGAAUUCCGGGUGUAGCGGUGAAAUGUGUAGAGAUCCGGAGGAACACCAGUGGCGAAGGCGCUGUCCUGGGCCACCUCUGACGCUGAUACGCGAAGGCGUGGGGAGCGAACGGG
rnacentral:rRNA from 1 species